rnacentral:rRNA from 1 species
AUUGAACGCUGGCGGCAGGCCUAACACAUGCAAGUCGAACGAGUGGCGGACGGGUGAGUAAUGUCUGGGAAACUGCCUGAUGGAGGGGGAUAACUACUGGAAACGGUAGCUAAUACCGCAUACCAUCGGAUGUGCCCAGAUGGGAUUAGCUAGUAGGUGGGGUAAAGGCUCACCUAGGCGACGAUCCCUAGCUGGUCUGAGAGGAUGACCAGCAACACUGGGACUUCGACACGGUCCAGACUCCUACGGGAGGAAGCAGUGGGGAAUAUUGCACAAUGGGCGCAAGCCUGAUGCAGCCAAGCCGCGUGUAUGAUGAUGGCCUUCGGGUUGUAAAGUACUUUCAGCCGGGAAGCGUUACCCGAAGAAGAAGCACCGGCUAACUCCGUGCCAGCAGCCGCGGUAAUAC